GCUCAGUUGGUUAAACGGCCAACUCUUGAUUUCAACUUAGGUCUUGACCUCAGGGUUGUGAGUUCAAGCCCCACAUUGGGCU
rnacentral:tRNA from 1 species